rnacentral:rRNA from 1 species
GGGAUAACUGAUGGAAACGUCAGCUAAGACCGCAUAGGUGUAGAGAUCGCAUGAACUCUAUAUGAAAAGUGCUACGGGACUGGUAGAUGAUGGACUUAUGGUGCAUUAGCUGGUUGGUAGGGUAACGGCCUACCAAGGCGACGAUGCGUAGCCGACCUGAGAGGGUGACCGGCCACACUGGGACUGAGACACGGCCCAGACUCCUACGGGAGGCAGCAGUAGGGAAUUUUCGGCAAUGGGGGAAACCCUGACCGAGCAACGCCGCGUGAAGGAAGAAGUAAUUCGUUAUGUAAACUUCUGUCAUAGAGGAAGAACGGUGGAUAUAGGGAAUGAUAUCCAAGUGACGGUACUCUAUAAGAAAGCCACGGCUAACUACGUGCCAGCAGCCGCGGUAAUACGUAGGUGGCGAGCGUUAUCCGGAAUUAUUGGGCGUAAAGAGGGAGCAGGCGGCACUAAGGGUCUGUGGUGAAAGAUCGAAGCUUAACUUCGGUAAGCCAUGGAAACCGUAGAGCUAGAGUGUGUGAGAGGAUCGUGGAAUUCCAUGUGUAGCGGUGAAAUGCGUAGAUAUAUGGAGGAACACCAGUGGCGAAGGCGACGAUCUGGCGCAUAACUGACGCUCAGUCCCGAAAGCGUGGGGAGCAAAUAGGAUUAGAUACCCUAGUAGUCCACGCCGUAAACGAUGAGUACUAAGUGUUGGGAGUCAAAUCUCAGUGCUGCAG